GAUGAACGCUGGCGGCGUGCCUAACACAUGCAAGUCGAACGGAGUCCAGCCUUUAAGACCUUCGGGUCAAAGAGGGGAAGACUGAGUGGCGGACGGGUGAGUAACACGUGGGCAACCUGGCUCAUAGAGGGGGAUAACAGAGAGAAAUUUCUGCUAAUACCGCAUAAGCACACACUGCCCCAUGGCAGAGGGUGAAAAGAGAAUCGCUCUGAGAUGGACCCGCGUCUGAUUAGCCAGUUGGCAGGGUAAGAGCCUACCAAAGCGACGAUCAGUAGCCGAUCUGAGAGGAUGAACGGCCACAUUGGGACUGAGACACGGCCCAAACUCCUACGGGAGGCAGCAGUGGGGGAUAUUGCACAAUGGGGGGAACCCUGAUGCAGCGACGCCGCGUGAGUGAAGAAGUAUUUCGGUAUGUAAAGCUCUAUCAGCAGGGAAGAUAAUGACAGUACCUGAAUAAGAAGCCCCGGCUAACUACGUG
rnacentral:rRNA from 1 species